ensembl:misc_RNA
UCCUCUGGAGACUGAAGUCCUCUCUCCACUGGUUAACAGUCAACAGAGCAAGCUUCGUCACAUCCCACCCCAAGUGUACUUCCGACCUGAACUGAAGGCACCAGCUCUAGGGAUAUGUUGGGAAUUCAGUCUCCAUGGCCCAUUCAGUUUCU